CGCCCUCUGCAGCCACACGUGGACCAGCAGGUAUACACGCUGCAAGCAGGCCGCCUCCGCUGUUUGGGUCCCAUGAACGACGGGAGCCUCCCAGUGAGAUCUCCAGGUCUCUAAUCAGGCACAGGCUCUGAGGGAGGGUCCUGGGGCCACAUGACUGCAGCCAGCGAGGGCCAAGCCCCCAGAUCCAGGUCAGCUCCUGGUGGCAGGGGACCCGCCCGUCAAAGCCGUCCAAGGGUUUCCGUGGCCCUGUCAGAAUAGGCUUGAUGGAUGCCCCGAGGUUCCCUCUGACAGCCGCAGCAGCAGGGCUCAAACCGGCGGGGCCAUGUACCGCUCCAAGGACAAGCUCUGCCGAGGCCGACAUGAAAAGCCAGCACGCGGGUCACCUAGAGCCGCUCUGGCUCCAAGCUGCAGCGCCGUUCGUGAAAAUACAGAGGGAGAGGGAAGGCACAAAGAAAUACAAAACUAUUUUCCAAAUAAAAAGAAAUGUCAAAACA
rnacentral:lncRNA from 1 species